UUAAGUUUUGUUAUUUAGAAAAUGAAAGUAGAAAACGUGUCAAAGAGUUUGAUGAGGUGACAUCCGACGUAAUUUGCAUUUUUGUUAAUUUAUAUCGUGCCGUGACAUUGUACGCAUUUAGCUCAGUACGUGGCAAAGAGAUUAACAGGCACACUUGUGCAAAAAAAUUCAAGACAUCAUAUUUCGGAGAUUAUUUUCAAUCGAUCACAGAUUACAGUCUCCUUUUAGCAAUGCGACAAUUAAAAGGAAAAGUGAAGGAAAACAGAAAAGAGAAAAGGGAAAGAAAGAUGGAAAACAAAAGAAACCAUGACAAUGUCCUAAAGAUUUGUCUUCCAGUGUUUGGGGUGAUCAUAGCCAUAAUUGUGGCAUAUGUUUAUGUUUCUACAAGACCAAAAGGAUAAUUUCAUCAUUAUUCAAUUUAAGAAAUAUGGAGUAUUUGAAAAGGAGAAGACUUUUUAAAAUUAUAUUCUUUUAGAUAGAGCAAAUACAAUGUAUUAAGAACAAAUUUCAUUGUAAAUUUUUUUAUCUUUCAAUUGGUUUACUGGUAAAUAUUGUUGUAUGAUUUGUAUGAAAAAUGCUAAGGUGCUGCAAAUCUUCUAGGUAUUAACAUUUAUCAGGUGCCUUUUAGUAUUAGAAUCUUUCAGCAUAUUGUCAUUAUUGUGUUAUCCUAUACUACAGCAACAGUUGAAAAUUUUCAUAAAUUAUUAUUAUAUGUUCGUCUUCCACCCAGUACAAUACAUUUCAGCUGCAGUAUUUUUUAAAAGUUUGCUCAAUGACAGGUUGUUUUGGUUCUUUUUUUUUUAAUCGUUUUUGAUUUACCUGUACUUUUUAUUGGCCAGUUUCUCCAACAUAUGUUUUUUUUUUAUUUAGUGUAAAACACACCAUGACAAAGCAAUAAGUCUGUUUAUUUUAUAGUAGAAAACAGUAAUGUGCAUUUGUUUUACUAUAUAGGUACUUAAUAGGUUCUAUGAUAAUUGUAAUAUGACACAUAUCAUUUGCAUGCCAGGUACAUUUAUGUAACUUAGGAAUGCCCAAUUUCUGACAUUAUGAAUCUCUUAUUAUUCAUGUACCAGGGUACAUACUAUUAGUACAUUGUUUAAAUACAAUACCUGUAUACAUGUAGUACAAUUCUUUAACAACGAAGGGUCUUCUGAUCAAAGAAUUUGGAACAAAUAUGAUGAUCAAUGCUCAUGAAACAAGAUGAGAUUACAACUAUAUAUUCAAAAUGUAUUUAUUCCAGUUAUUGCAAUAUAGAGUAAGAUGUUUAUAUUUAUGUUUAAAAUAGCUAUAUAAAUAUAUAUUUUGUUUACCUGGUACUUGUUUGUGGGAAUGGGCUGUCUUGUCUACAGUUACUGUGCAUUGAAUCUUGUUGUGAUGUUUGAAAAUUUUAUCGUUUUUUAUUUUAUUCAUUAAUGUUCAUUUAUUAAUUAUUGUUCUAAAUCAAUAAAGUUAAAAUUACAUCAAAUAUUUGAAUGCUGUUCUCUUUGAAAGUGUAGCUAGAAAAUCGAGCACAUGCACCAUACACUUUUCUACUUUUGCAUCAAUUCACAGCAUAGUUUAUUGCAUAUUACCGGU